rnacentral:lncRNA from 1 species
CCAUGAUCGCGCAACGCUUGCGCGGUACGUAGCAGGGUGCAGCAGCAUCCACGGCGUGGCCCUGGUAUCUGCCAAGACGAGCAUCUCCGUAUGUCCAUGCAGUGCAGCAAAUACUGCGAUGGCCGCGCGUACUCGCACGAGUUAAUACUACCCGUUAAAAAAUUGAGCACGGGUCUAACGGUUAGUUCUCCAAAAGCUCCUUAUGAACCUCGUUAGUACCGGUUAGGAGCUACCGGAUGGAGGUUCCACCCGGUACUAAUGAGUGACCUUUAGUACCGGUUGGAACUCCCAACCUUAUCUUCCCGACCCCCUCCCUCUCCCUCACCCAUCUUAUCUUCUCGGCCUCCUCCCCUCUCCCUCACCCUCUCCUUCUCCUCUCCACCCUCUCCCUCUCCCCUCUACUCUCAGCUCCCCCCGACGACGGCGGCCGGCCCCUCCCUUCCCAGCGACGGCCGCUGCCUCCCUCCCUCCCUCCACUUCUCACUCUCGAGGUCGGUCGGCACCUCCUCUGCCUCCCCUCUACCCCUCACCGGCAGUGAGGAGCAGCGGCAGGGCGAGGUGAGGUGGCGGCGUGCAAGGUGAGGUCUGGCGGCGUGGGUUGCAGACCACAACGGCGGGUGCGGCUGGGAUCGGAGGGGGGCAAUGGCGGGCGUCGACUGCGAGCGACGGCAAGUUGGGCUCGGGCUGGUAGGAUUUUUUUUAUUUUUUAAUACCCCUUUAGUACCGAUCAUUUAAUCCGACCCUUUAGUACCGAAGUAGCAAUACCGAUUGCACAACCGGUACUAAAGGAGUCGGUACUAAAAGUGCUUUCCUCA